rnacentral:rRNA from 1 species
GAGUAAUGUCUGGGAAACUGCCUGAUGGAGGGGGAUAACUACUGGAAACGGUGGCUAAUACCGCAUAACGUCGCAAGACCAAAGAGGGGGACCUUCGGGCCUCUUGCCAUCAGAUGUGCCCAGAUGGGAUUAGCUUGUUGGUGAGGUAACGGCUCACCAAGGCGACGAUCCCUAGCUGGUCUGAGAGGAUGACCAGCCACACUGGAACUGAGACACGGUCCAGACUCCUACGGGAGGCAGCAGUGGGGAAUAUUGCACAAUGGGCGCAAGCCUGAUGCAGCCAUGCCGCGUGUAUGAAGAAGGCCUUCGGGUUGUAAAGUACUUUCAGCGGGGAGGAAGGUGUUGUGGUUAAUAACCGCAGCAAUUGACGUUACCCGCAGAAGAAGCACCGGCUAACUCCGUGCCAGCAGCCGCGGUAAUACGGAGGGUGCAAGCGUUAAUCGGAAUUACUGGGCGUAAAGCGCACGCAGGCGGUCUGUCAAGUCG